rnacentral:antisense_RNA from 1 species
CUUGACCGAGCCGAGCAGCAACGGCCUUUCCUCGGGCCGCCCUUGGCCGUAGACGGCCAGCAGGGCCUGCGCCUC